rnacentral:misc_RNA from 1 species
AAAAAAAAAUAAAGUGUAAAAUUAAUUAUCAAAAGAAAAAACAUUAUUUUUUUUAUUCUAAUGUUGCCAUAAAAAACUCUCAAAACUGGUUGAAACCACAUUUUCUAAUCCUGUAAAUUCCAUAUUACUACUAAUAUAAUUAUCUUGUCCAAAAAAAUAUUCACAAUUUCCAUAAUUAUUAUCCCACCAUUCAUCUGAUUCAAAUAAACUCUGAGUUGAUUCAACCAAUUCGUAACUCGAUCCCAAUUUUGGCAGCUCCACUAUCUCACUCAACUGCCCCGUCGCCUCCGGAAUCAGCUCCGGAGGCGACGGUCUUGACUCCUCGUCGUCUUGAAACGACGACGAGGAGGAUGUAACGCCCGAAACUAACGACAGCGACGAUGACGAUGAGGUCAUCGUCGCCGCAGAGGUUUCGGGUAAUAUUGAGAAUUUUGGAUUUAGGUGAUCCAUGUGAGCGGCUUUUACGGCGGCGUUUUGGAUGUCACGUGGGGAGCACGUGACGGGUCGGGGCAGUAAAUGUGAAAAUUGGGGAAAAUUGAGUAUAGCUGAGGUACCUUUAAUGGACAUGGCGGCGACGUCGUGAGCACGCGCCGCCAUUUCCGGGGUAGCAAAGGUACCUAACCAAAUCCGUGAUUUUUUUUUAGGUUCACGGAUUUCGGAUACCCAUUUUCCCCAUGCUCUCAUUCGUACACCUACAUAAGAAACAACACUAGUACUGCUGCCAUUGUUGUUGUUUUUAUUCAUCUUCUUCGGAUUUGGAUUAUUAACGACCACGUCUUCUUCUUCUUCUACUUCCUCUUCACCUCUGCAUCUUUUGAGUCGAUUUUUUGAAUUGAUUUGUGGAAGUGGCUGAAGAAGAACGGAAGAUGGCGAUGAGGGCGACGAAGAAGAAGAAGAGUUGCAGCUAGAUUCAGUACUUUCUGAACAAUUUGGUUGCUCUGUAGACAUUAUUAUCAUGUAUGAAUUGUGUUGCUCUGUUUUUGUUACGUUUGCUCUGUUUUCUUCUCUCUCUUUUUUCGCGAAAAAACUAUGUCUGUAAAUUUGCGAAACUCUCAAUAAACUGAACGCAGUGUAUACACAGAGAUGUUGAAGAAAUGACGAGCUGCUCUGUUUUAGUGUGUGAAAAUAGAAUAUAGAGAGAGAGGGGAGAGGAGAGGAGGGAAGGU